rnacentral:rRNA from 1 species
ACGGCUCAGUAACACGUAGUCAACCUGCCCUCGGGACGAGAACAACCCUGGGAAACUGGGGGUAAUUCUCGAUAGGCGCAGUGGCCUGGAAUGGUACUGCACCUAAAGGACUUUAGGAACAUGCUCUUAGAGUCGCCCUAGGAUGGGACUGCGGCCGAUCAGGUUGUUGGUGGGGUAACGGCCUACCAAGCCUAUAACCGGUACGGGCCCUGAGAGGGGGAGCCCGGAGAUGGGAACUGAGACAAGGUCCCAGGUCCUACGGGGCGCAGCAGGCGCGAAAACUCCACAAUGUGCGAAAGCAUGAUGGGGUUAACCCGAGUGCCAUCCGAUGAGGACGGCUUUUCUUCAGUUUAAGGAUCUGGAGGAAUAAAGGGGGGGCAAGACUGGUGUCAGCCGCCGCGGUAAUACCAGCCCCCUGAGUGGUAGGGACGAUUAUUUGGCCUAAAGCGUCCGUAGCCUGUUUGGUAAGUCUUUCGUUAAAUCCGACGAUUCCAUCGUUGGGCCGCGGAAGAGACUGUCAGACUUGAGGACGGGAGAGGUCGACGGUAGUCCCAGGGUAGGGGUGAAAUCCUAUAAUCCUGGAGGACCACCAGUGGCGAAGGCGGUCGACUAGAACGUGCCUGACGGUGAUGGACGAAAGCUGGGGGAGCGAACCGGAUUAGACACCCGGGUAGUCCCAGCUGUAAACGAUGCGAGCUAGGUGUUGGAGCAACUACGAGUUGCUCCAGUGCCGCAGAGAAGUUGUUAAGCUCGCCGCCUGGGAAGUACGGCCGCAAGGCUGAAACUUAAAGGAAUUGGCGGGGGAGCAC